UUUUUUUAUAAUAAAGGUCUUAAGCACGUUUUUCAUAGCGACCGCAAUAAUAGAUUUUCAAAGCAAGUCGAUAGAUUUUGCUCUGAUUGGUGGAUGCAAUAAUGGAAAUCGAGUAAUCUUUUCUUAUUGGUCAACGCAAUAACGUAGUUGGAUGGAUUUUCUCUGAUUGGUAAGGGUAAUAAUGGAAGUUGAUAGAUCUUCUUUGAUUGGUCGACGUAUUGAUGGAAGUCAAUGAUUCUUGUUUUUCUCUCGAGUACAAUAAUAGAAAUAGCGCGAAAUAAGUCAAACAGUGUGAAUUAUAAUUCCUAUACGUUUACUCAAUGUUAUUUAAAUAUUCAUAGUUUUGUAUUUAAAAAUAUAAAUAAAUGUGAUAAUGACUACUUCCACAGAUAUUGCUACGAUAAGGGUACAGAGAUACCUAAAUAUGCCAUUGGUACAGAGAUGUAGCGAGUUGGCAGUAUUAAUAGACGAAUCAAGUACUACAGAACUACAACAUGUAUUUCCAAUAAUAAUAGAUUCACUGUUUGGAAUAACAGAUAAUAUCGGUUGGGGUUUGCAUAAUAUUACUUACAAAAAAAAUCCCCAAGAAUAUGAAAUGCUGUAUAAUUUUCUUAGUCCACAUGGACCAAUAUUUUCUCUUUGUUAUAAAUUACUUCCGGAUUGUUAUUUGAAAUAUAAUUUUCCGGUAUCAUAUUUGCCAUCAAAGAUACGCUCGAUGUUAGAGGAAGGUGUAAUACCACCUUUUUAUCUUGACAAAAUUAGAGAUGACCAAGGAACGAGAGUUCCGUCAGCUUUAUUCAUGAAUCCCUUUGAGUAUUACAUUUUUCAUUUCGCUUAUCAUUUGACGAAUCCUUGGCUACAGAUACAACAGCAAGAAAAUGUUUGGGUAAAUUGGGAAACAGUGUAUGUUCAAUCGGCUCAUUAUUACUUGCAUCAUUUUUUACCAAGAGAUAAUUCACCAGUUUUACCAAUAAUUGGGCCAUACAUAAAGAAAACUCCUCAAAGAAAAUUGAUGCAGUCGCCUGAAAAUAAAAGUUUUAAAAUUUCAAUUAGAGAAUCUCAUAGAUUACAAACUCCAAGACUUUUGAGAGCAUCAAUAUUAUCGCCAGGAUCUACCAAUUUAGUGGUAGGAGUCCCUCAACAACAAUGUCUUCCUCAAGUAUGGAGAAGUGAGACAGUGAUACAAGUAUUUCUUGAUUUUUGGAUGGAAUAUACUGAGGACGAUCAUAUGCCUUCUCAAAUGAAUAUGUCGUAUUCUACUCCUAUUCCACAUCGCCACAGCAUACAUUCUGGUGAACAUAUACGUCUAGUUAGAGCAUUUAUAAAAACUUUACACGAAUUUGCAAAUAGUUCGAUCGGAGAUAAAAGUGCUAUGGAUGAGUUAAAAAGGAUUAUUUUGCCAUCUGUGCAAGGAAAGAUCUAUGUAUUCCUUCGAAAAGCUAUAUAUCAUUGGCCUCUGGACAGUUCGUUUAGAUUAAUUUUGGAGGCAUGGUUGAGUUUUAUUCAACCAUGGAGAUAUAUUGCAGGAGUAACAUAUACAAAAGAAGGCAAACCAGAGGAAGAGGAGAGGGGUAAAAUACAUGAUCCAAACAGAUGGAUAACUUUUGUUGCUAAUAAUCUAUUGGCUUAUACGGUAAUAUUUCAACAAUUAUUACCACGUUUUAUGAGAACUGAUCUCGUGGCUCCGAAAAAUGCUUUGAUGUUAUUUAGAGUUACAAAGGUAUUUUCUCAACCACAUUUGGCAAGGAUAUUAUCUGAAGUAGAAAGUUGUAUGGAUGAUGCCAAUCUUAAUAGAAAUCGUAUGCAAUCUAGUCAAUGGACUUCCGUAGUAAGGCAACAAAUUAUGGAACUUGAAGGUCCAACUUAUCAAUACAUUCCUAUGUUUUCAACGACCACUAUUACACAAGUAACUUUUUUCUUAAGUAUAAUCAAACAAGCACAUUUAACAGCAACGAGUUUGAUCGAAGCAUUAGAAAAGAGGAAACGGAGUCAGCAAUUUUUAGUUGCCCUAUGGGAAUUCUUUUACGGGGAAGAGAAUUCGUCCGAUGAUAUUUCUAUAGAGGAACGUCGUAGGGUUCCUAUAUUUUUAGCAAACGCUCAGCAACAAUUGAUCGAUAUAUUCCAAAUUUCAUUAGAAGAUAUUCCACAAAUAAGUAUUACACCUGAUCAGGAAUAUCACGAUAGUAUUCUCUCGACUUCUUUUCAUCAUCAGUCUCAGGUGGAUUCAUCGUUAGAUUCAAGUAGACCAGGUGUUUUUGUACCAAUACCGGAUGGAAGACAAAAUUUUCGAUACAUCGAAUAUAUGGGAGAUCCAGAAUUACAGCCAGUUCGUUCCAACGAAUGUGCUUACCUAGUCAGAAAUUUGUAUAACUUUUGUUCUUAUAUUAAUAACAAGUAUCGAUACGAGAUAAAUAUUUUAUACAACAAGAGAAAUUUUCUUGGAAGUAUUUGUCGACAGAUACUUAUACCGCCAACCACAAUUGUAAAACUUCCAAAACGAACCAUUAAUGGUUUUUCAAGUGGUUCCGAAGAAUUGAUUCCUCCUCGAUUGAGUUUAAGACGAUUAUCUAAUUAUGGUUUCUUGAUUUUUAUAUCAGCGAGUAUGUUUAUGGCAUGGAUCACAAAUUACGGGGUACUAUGGUUAUUGUGCCUAAUGUUUUUUGUAUGGUUCCUAUACAUAUUGAUACGAGCAAUUUUCGAACCAUGGUUUCAAUCAAGCACAAAUACUUUUAGGCCAAACACAACCGCUUUUUCGAUAAACUAAAUCGUAUUAUAACCGAAGAUUAUAAAAAAAGAAAAAAAAAGAAAAAUAAAUAAAAUGAAUCGCUUUAUCUGAUAUGGACUAAAAUAUAUGCGAGCAUUAAUUCGCAGCAUCGUUUAAAAAAGUAAACAAUAAAAAAUAAAAGAAAGAAAAAAGAAACAAAAUUAUUGCGAACAAAUUAUGACCAUUGAGAUGAAUGGAAUAAUGGAAUAAAUUGCAAUUUUUUUUAUAGAGCUAUUGCCUUGUAAGGUAU